rnacentral:lncRNA from 1 species
UAUGUCUCUGCCUCUCUCUCUCUCUUUCUGUCUCACGUGAAUAAGUAAAUAAAUAAAAUCUUAAAAAAUAUAAAGUGCACAAUUUGAUACAUUUUGACAUAUGUAUAAGCCACUAAAACUAUCAACUACAAUCAAGGUAUCAAACAUUCCUAUCCACCCAAAAUCUUCUCAUGACCCUCUCUGACCCUCCCUCUGCCUUCCUUGCCACCCUCCAGCCCCAGGCAAUCACUGAGUUGCUUUACCUCACUGUAGAUGAAUUUGCAUUCUCUAGAAUUUUGUAAAAAUGGCAUCAUGUGGUAUGUACUUUUUUGGGGGUUUGGUUUCUGUCACUCAACAUAAUUAGUUUGAGAUUUAUCCAUGCUGUUCUUCUGUGUGUCAUAGUUUAUUGUUGAGUAGUCCUGUCAUGCUGAUAUACCACAGUGUAUUUAUCCAUUCCCCAAUUCAGGAACAUUUGAGGUUCCAUUUUGACAAUUAUGACUAAAGCUGCUAUAAACAUUGUAUUCAGGAUUUUGUGUUCAGGUUUUUAUUUUAUUUGGGUAAGUAACCUAGGAAUGGGUUUGCUGCAUUCUAUGGUAAACACAUGUUUAACCUUCAAAGAAACUGCCAAAAUAAUAUUCCAGAGGUGCCACACCAUUUUAUAUUCCCACCAACAGUGUGUGAGAUUUUCAGUUUUUAUUGUCAAUUUUUCUUUUUCUUUUUCAUUUUAUUUCUUUAUUUUUUCAAUUUUUCUUUUUAAAUUUAACUUUUCAAAAGGUGUGUAGCAGUAUCUCAUUGUGAUUUUAAUUUCCAUUUCCUAAGUGACUAAUGAUGUUGAGCAUCUUCUCAAGUGAUUGUUAUCUAUAUAUCCUUUCUCAUGUUUAAUUGGGUUAUUUUCUCAUUGAGUUUUAAUAAUUCCUUUUUUUUUAAUAAAAAGAUUUAUUGAUUAAUUUUAGAGAGAGAGCACAUGCAAGUGCCUGAGUGGGAAAGGGGCAGAGGGAGAGAAUCUCAAGCAGGCUCCCCACUGAAUGUAGAGCCAGACUUGGGACUUGAUCUCACCAUCCAUGAGAUCAUGACCUAAGCCAAAACCACAAGUCUGUUGCCCAACCAACUGAGCCACCCACAUGCCCCUUAAGAAUUUCUUCUGUGCUCUGGAUCUGAGUCCAUUCUCAAAUACGGGAUUUGCAAAGACUGUUUUUCAGUCUGUGGCUUGACUUUUCAUUCUCUUAAUUGUCUUUUUACAAAGUGAACAUUCAGUCUAACAUCUCUUUUUUGCAUUGUGCUUUUGGUAUAUCUAAGAACACUUUUAUAACCUAAGGUAACAAAGGUUCCUCCUACUUUUUUCUAAAAGUUGUUAAGUUUGUUUGUUUAGAUUUUAUUUAUUUAUUUGAGAGAGAGAGUGUGAGAGAGAGCACAAGCAGCAGGGAGACGCAGAGGGAGAGGGACAUACAGACUCCCCACUGAGCAGGGAGCCCCUUGUGGGGCUCUGGGGCUCUAUCCCAAGGCCCUGCAAUCAUGACUGGAGUCAAAGGCAGACACUUAACUGACUGAGCCACCCAGGUGCCCCUAAAAGUUUUACGUUUAGAUCUAUGAUACAUUUGGAGUUAAUUCUUGUAAAUGAUGUGAAGUAUGGAUCAUGGUUUGCUGCUUCUCUUUUCUCUUUUUUCCCUCCCCUCUCUGUCCCUUUUGCAUAUUUCCAUAUCUUCCAAUUGUUUUGACAUUUUUGAAGACUCCAUUUUUUUGUUCAAUUUCCUUUGUGUCUUUGUAAAAAUUCAAUUGGCCAUAUCUGUGUGUUUCUGGACUUUCUGUUCUGUUCCAUCAAUCAGUGUGUCUAUCUUUCUGCCAAUACCUUACUGCAGCUUUAUAGUAAGUCUUAAAUUUGGGUAAUGUGAAUCCUCCAAAUUUGUUCUUUUUUUUCAAAAUUAUUUUGGCUGUUCUAGUUUCUUUGCCUUUGCAUAUAAAUUUAAGAAUUGUUUUAUAAUAUUUACAGAAUAUCUUUCUGGGGUUUUGGGUUGGAUUGCAUCAAAUUUAUAAAUCAAUUUGGAGACAAUUGGCAGCUUAAAUUAGUUUGCUGAUCCAUGAUCCUUCUGCCUUUUUUGUUUUCUGUGACUUUUUUCUAUGAUUGUUCUGCACAUAUUUGUUAGAUUUAUAUCUAAGUAUAUCUGUGCUAUUGUAAUAGUAAUGUUUUUAUUUUUACUUUUUAAAAAGAUUUUAUUUAUUUAUUUACUCAUGAGACACACAGAAAGAGAGAGAUGGGAUGCUUGGGUGGCUCAUCAGUUUAGCACCUGCCUUUGGCCCAGGGCAUGAUCCUGGAGUCUUGGGAUCGAGUCUCACAUGGGGCUCCCUGCAAGGGGCCUGCUUCUCCCUCUGACUGUGUCUCUGCCUCUCUCUGUGUCUCUCAUAAAUAAAUAAAAUUAAAAAAAAGAGAGAGAGAGAGAGGGAGAUAGAGAGAGAGAGGCAGAGACCUAAGCAGAGGGAGAAUCAGGCUCCCUGCAAGGAGCGCAAUGUGGGACUGGAUCCUGGAUCCUAGGGUCAUGCCCUAAGCCAAAGGCAGACGCUCAACCACUGAGCCACCCAGGCGUCCCAAUAGUAAUGUUUUUAAACAUUUAUGUUUCCACUUGUUCAAUAUUAGAAUAUACAGAAACAUGAUUGAUUUUUGUGUGUUUACUUGGAUCCUGUGGCUUUGCUAAUUAUUAACUCAUUUUUAAGUUCUAGCACAUUUUUGAAGAUUCCAUGGCAUUUUCUACUAUCUGUAAAUGGAAACAAUUUUAUUUCUUCCUUUCCUUUCUGUAAGCUUUUCUUUUUCUGCAUUUGCUACAACUUCCAGUAUAUACUGAGUAGGAGCGGAAAGAGUGAACAUCUGGGCUGCUUCUAGAUCUCAGGGAGAAAGCAUUCAAGCUUUUACCAUAAAGUAUGGUAUUAAUUGUAGGGUCUUUGCUUUAUUUUUAUAAAAUAUCUUUUUUCAGGUUAAGGAAGUUCCAUUUUACUCCUGGUUUCUGAGAGUUUUUGUCUCAAAUAGACAUUGAAAUUUGCCAAAUGCUUUUUCCAUGCCUGUUGAGAUGAUCAUGUGGUUUUUCUUUUAUAUCUAUUACUAUGGGAAAUUACAUUGAUUGAUUUUUAAGUGUCAAGCCAAACUUGCAUUACUAGAAUAAAUGCCACUUGAUCAUAACAAUUAUACUUUUU